GUGAUCCUCUCAUCGAAACGAAUAAAAUGAUAUAUUGUUUGUUAAUUUUGGUGAAGAUUUGACUUUUUCGGCCACCGUGCACGGCGGCGGCUGCGGCGGUCCGGCGACCGGCCGGCGAGGCUCCAGCGAGGACUUCAAAGGCAGCAUGUUCUCCUCUUCGCGCGGAUCACGGAAAUCAAAUCCGAUUUUCGAUCGGAUUUUCUUUCUAGAUGUGUAUGAGCUCCGGGAUGGUGAGACAAAAGCUAGAAGGAUGCAGUAUUAGAGAUAGUCCUUUAAAGGGCAAUAAAGAACUGUAAUAGAAAGAAAGGAAAGCCCUAUGGAGUUGAAAUACUUAUUAUAGAAGACUUUUAAUGAUAGAAAUAACGAUGUGAAUGUAAAGGUAGAGUUCCGCAAUUGUAUUCCAGUUGGUUUGUAAAUAAAUAAUAAAAGUCCAUAUUACAUAUAUGAACUGUAUUUUGAAUGCAUA